AAUAUAAACACUCCCAUCACUUCUGCAGGGUAGGGUGGAUUCAUUUUAUGCAUUCAUAUAGCUGAUUAUUAUUGCUUGCAGUUACAAAUCCAGAUUAGGAUUUGCGUCUUUGACCUCACACUGAAGCUGCUUCAUGUAAGAAACUGCUGGAUACAACAACCUUUCAAAUGCAGAAUUAUCCGAGACACGGUGAGAGUAUUCCCUGUUGAGAGACCUUAUAUGUUUAUUUAUUUAAAAAAACAUCAAUGAUGAAUUAGAAUCAACUUAGCUCUAAUAGCACAGCCGAUCUGGACUUCUUUGUUUUUACUUAAAAUUUUCUGCAUGUCAACAAUAUUCUUAGAGGUUUAGUCUUUUAAAUAUUUCUGUGUGAGUGAUAAAUGACAGGAGAUGUGUUUUGCUCAUAGUCUAGGACACAAACUUUAUUCUGUUGAUUUUGAGAGAAAGUCUGCUGAAUGGCUUUAUAUAUGUUAGUCGUGAGCUGAGACACUCUUGUUGGUAGCUGAAAACUCCCAUCAAAGUCAUAUUGAAUAAUUAUGCAGAGUUCAUGAGAAAAUGAGCUGAUUUAAUUAAAGUUCGGCUGGUUUUAGUUCUCACUACACGUUCCUUCUUGGUUUUGCAUUUUGCAGUUUUUCUGUAAUUGUUUGAUUUUAAAAAUAUCCUUCUUUGCAUUAGCCUUCAAGUGCACCAUUGUUAGAGUAAAACCAGUCAUGUUCUUUACUUCUUUUUUUAGCAGAAAGAAUGAUGAGAACCCUGUAUAAUUUGUCUGAUCUGAGAGAGUCCAGGUUUGGUCAGCCGCCUCCCAGACACGGUCUGAUCUUGCUGUGGUGGUUUGCUCAUAAAUGUGUUCAGAUUGACUCCAAUGAUCAUAUAAUUGCUUGCUGCAGCCCUUCAAAUGGAGCCUGCGGCUGAAUCAUCCAUCCAUCCAUUUUCCAAACCGCUGGUCCAAUGUGGCUACAGCAUAAUAUCAUUUUCUACAAGUAUAAAUUGCUUUUUAAUUUAUUAUUAAAUAGUUCAAUAAGGUUUAUACAUGCUAGUUUCCAUGACCGAUUCAAGAUAAAUAUUUUAAUUACUACAGGAGCUGCCAUUUUGCUAAAUUUCAAAUGGAAUUAAACAGCAAGCAAAAAAAAAAAAAAAAAAAAAAAACUAUGCAAAAGCAGCAGCCCUUCCAGUGCACUCAGUGUCUGAAUUCACUCACUCAUUUUCAUUCACUCACUAUAUUAAUGAAGUAAUGCAGCGAAUUGUGAAUGAGAUAUAAGGAGUGAUUUCGGACACAGCCAUAGUUUUCACAGUUUGUUUUUAAUUAUGAAGCUUGUGUCCAUUUGGACAAAUGGCUUAUUUGGAUGUUAAAUUAUUAUAAUCUAUGAUAAGUAUGUUUAAAUAUAAUUAUAAAUAUAUGCUUGUUCUAUAAACUUAAGAUAUGGUGCUGAGCUUUGGAUAUUUAUCACUUGAUUUUCUUGAUGAUUUAUUACAGUGAUGUAGAUAAAUAUUUCAGACAGAAGGUGAAACUUUAAUAUGAAAUCUGAAUAUGAGUGAGACAUUAUAGUUGAAUUUAUAGUUGAAUCUAAAAUAGCUUUAAUGUAAAUCCCCUCAUGAACAGUCCCUAAUGUGUUUCUGCAUAAGUUUCGCUUUCUGCAUGAUAAGUUUCUGUUCAUCAAAACAGCAACACAAGUACAACCUGUAUGACAACUAAUGUUUGUUACUUACGAUAGAGUAGUUUCUAUGCAGUGUUGUCAUGUCAUAUAAAUGAGACAGUCAGUGCCAAAGAUCUAAUAAGGCUUAUUGCUACAAGAUAUGGUGAAUCAGUGAAUCAGAUUAACCCUUCAUCUCACUGCAAUAAUUUUGUCAUUUUGGAGGAUCAGUUUUUCUCAGCUCAUUCAGAAUUGUCAGGAACAUGAUGAGGACCCUGUAUGAUUUGUCUGAUCUGAAAGAGUCCAGGUUUGGCCGGCCGCCUCCCAGACACGGUCUGAUCUUGCUGUGGUGGUUUGCUCAUGAAUGCGUUCUGAUCGACUCCAAUGGUCGUAUGAUUGCUCAGUGCGACCCUGAAAAUGGAGCUUUUGGCUUCCAUCGAUUCCAUAAUAGGGAGAGACUUCUUCCUUACACUAAACUACCAUACUAUGAAGUCGGCAACCUGCACAUCACUCACUCACUGCCACGUUAUGUCACUCAGUAUUACACGGGACAUUCAGACAACAGCAACAAAGAUCGCAUCAUUGUUUUAUUUAACUCAAGGUGGAACAGAUUUGACAAUGUUUAUGUGACACAGCACUCGGGUCAGGUGAAUUUUGACCAGAAUCACACUUACUGCAUUAGCAUCAAACUCAUGAAGGACAUUAAAGAUUUGAGCCGUACGGAAUUCCUCAGAGAACCCAUCCUUCCAAAACCACCCAAUCUUCCAGAGUAUUUGGCCAUAGACAUAAUUAACGGAGGCUAUUCCCAAGCAAGACCGGACACCACAGUCGUACGCACACCUCAGCCAGUGCAGAGUGAAUCCUGCUGUCUGAGUAAGAAAUGCUACUGUGUGCUGAUUUGUGUCUUGAUUUUACUGUUGCUCAUUAUUGCUGCUAUUGUCUUUUUAUUGUAUAAAAUGAAAUAAUGCGUGACACACUCCAAUCAAUGUCUUCGGCGGUUACGUCCUGAUUUAUAGUAAUUUCGUUUCAUAUUUGUUGUGCUUAUUCUUUGACAUAUACAAACAGAGAAUGUAUUAAAACUCCAAAAACCAUUGACUUGUGUUUGUGUGAUUUAGUUUUUUUAUUCAGCUUGUCUUUUACUUUGCCAUAAGUGCCAUCAAUAUACAUGUAAUAUCAUUAAAUAUAAAUCUUAAUAAAUCAUAAUACAUUUUAAUGUGAAUAAUAGCCCAUAUAUAUUGAAUAUUUUAUAUGAACUCUGAAUAUGAGUAAGACAUUAUAUAACUCAUGAACUGUCCUGUCUGCUCUAGUGUGUUCCUGCAUCAGUUUCUCUUUCCACACUGAUGAUCUUCUGUUCAUCUCUAUAGCAACAGACGCAACAAACUAUGUGUGUUACUAUAGAGUAGCUCUUUAAUUACUGGCUCCUUGAAUGUUUUACUACUAUUUUAAAUCUUUAAAUAUUUCAUCAUUGUUUUUUUCUCUCACACAGUCGUCCAUUCAGUUCAAUUCAAUUCACAUUUAUUUGUAUAGCGCUUUUCACAAUACAUAUUACAAUUUAGAGUAAUCUGUUAUUAGAGAUGACUGUGUCCAAAUUAUGUAAUUUGAAUAAUGUACACUGUAAAUAAAAUAGUUGAGCUAACUUAAAAAAAAUAAAGCACCUUAUCGCAUUCAACUUUUUAAGUUAACUCAACUAAUUCACUCGAGUUAAAGUCAACUUAAAAACUUUUGUUCAUCUGAUGAGUACAGGUAGUCUUUUGAAUUUAAAACUUCUUGUCAAGACAGCUAAAGAAUGUUUAGCAAUGAAAGCAGCUACAAUCCUUGUUUUCUUCAUCUCCAUGUUUGAUUCUCAAAGUUAACUUCACGACAUGAACAUCAUUUGCCUCUUAAAACUGGAGGCACACCCAUUUCACCCAGGCAAAUAAGUUGCAAAAACUGCAAUAAAAAUACCUCAUCACAUGUCUCAUGUUAACACAAAUCUCAAACAUUGUAAUUCAGUAAAAAUAUGAACUAUGAAACAUAUGACAGCUAAAUAACAGUGACAACAGCAGCAGCAUAAAUCAAGCCGGUUAAUGCAAAGCAAUAAUCAUUUUUAUAUAAUAGUUACCACAUAAUUUUUUCAAGCUGCAAUGCAUGCUGGGAACUGGCACAACAUUGUUGAAUGUAAACUCAAUUUGGAUAGUUGGGACAACAUUUGAACAAGUUUUGGACAAACACUUGAGAAUCUAAGUAGGUCAAUAAAAAAGGUUUUGUUAGCAACAUUUUCUUCUAACAAAUGUAAAAAUCGAUCAUUCGGGUUGAGUCGGUUUAUUAUCUUGAAUGAACUAAACAAGAAUGCUCUAAACAUCUAGCAGCGUCUUUGACCCCACACGAGACACUGUGAAGCUGCUACACGCAAGAAAUUGCUGGAUAACAACAAUCUUUUUCAAAUUACCAGAGACACAGUGAGCCCUGAAUUGUUACAGAUUAAGAGACUUUAUUUAUUUAUUUACAAAAAAUAAUUCACAAAUUAGAAUCAAAUUAGAUGGAAUAGCACAGCCGAUCUGGAUUUCCUUGUUUUUACAGAAAUCUCACUCAACUCAGAUUUUGAGGAUCAGUCUUUCUAUUGCUACAGAGAUCUUUCUGCUUGUAUUUCUGUGUAAGUGACCAAUAUAUUCUGCUGAUUUUGAGAGAAAAUCUGCUGAAUGAUUUUAAACAAGCACAUGAAUGUGAUCUGAGAGUACUACACUCUGAUUGGCAGCUGAAAACCUAAUCAAAUUAGCCAAAAAUUUGAAUAAGUGAACAUGAAAGGGAUCUGUAGAAUUUUAUGAAUAACAGGCGUUCCAGUUCCAGUUCACCAGUGAGGAAAUAAGAUCACCCAAAUUAACAAUAUUAUUGUUGUAUGUUUUUAACUGUUAGAUACAUUUGUGAAACUCAAGACCUCUGAUUUUGAGCUAAAAUUACCAUUGCUGUAUUUUUACAGAGAAUGCCCAAUAAGCCUGGACAUAAAAUAAAAUAAAAUAAGUAAUGGGACAGUAAAGAGUAAUGAAAUCAAAUAUGAUUCAGACUUUGUCCAGUGUGUGUGUCUGAUGCAGAGUGUGUUUGCUCAUAUGAUCUUAGACACGCCCACCAUCUGUCUGCUUCAGUUUCUGUUUCCUAGAUAGUCAGCUGACCUAUCCCUCGCUUCCUGUUGAACUAUGUAAGAACUAAGGUGCUUAUUAUUUAUUCACCUCAGACUCAUUUUACCCUGAAUUACUGAUUCUACAAAUACAUGCAGAAACGCUACGGUCAGUCUGCUUUGGUUUCACUUUCCCAGUUAUUCAUCUGUUCUUCCGCAGCUGUAGAAAGUAACACUCUUUCAAUAACAACAAAAACCAUCUGUUAAUAACACUUUGAGAAAAAACAAAACAAAUCCAACAGUAAAAAAGCAGAACCAAAUACUACAUUAGCAAACGUUUUAACUUCUGUAAAAGUUAUAGAUUUUAAUUUUAUAUUAGCCUAAUAGGCUAGGUAUUGUCAAAGACAGACGUUCUUAUUCGACUUUAGGUUGGCAUUCAUGCGUCUCUAGUGUCAUGAUCCUCCUUUGAUAAUCACCCAAAAAAGAAGAAGUGAGCAAAAGAAGAAGUGAGCUGCACAGACAAGGGUCUUCUCACAGCGCGUGAACA